rnacentral:rRNA from 1 species
UACGUAGGGUGCAAGCGUUGUCCGGAAUUAUUGGGCGUAAAGAGCUCGUAGGCGGUCUGUCGCGUCUGCUGUGAAAACUCAGGGCUUAACCCUGAGCUUGCAGUGGGUACGGGCAGACUAGAGUGCGGUAGGGGAGACUGGAAUUCCUGGUGUAGCGGUGAAAUGCGCAGAUAUCAGGAGGAACAUCAGUUGCGAAGGCCGGGCUCUUCUGGACCAGCACUGAACAC